rfam:Schistosoma mansoni strain Puerto Rico chromosome 4, complete genome
AUCCAGCUGACGAGUCCCGAAUACGACGAAACGCGCGUCCUGGAU